rnacentral:rRNA from 1 species
GACGAACGCUGGCGGCGUGGAUUAGGCAUGCAAGUCGAACGGUAGGAUACCUUCGGGUACUGAGAGUGGCGAACGGGUGAGUAACACGUAGGUGAUCUACCCUCAAGAUUGGGACAACCCCAGGGAAACUUGGGCUAAUACCGGAUGAAAGCAGCAGUGAUGUUGUUUGAAAGGUGGCGUAAGCUGCCGUUUGGGGAUGAGCCUGCGCUCUAUUAGUUAGUUGGCGGGGUAAAGGCCCACCAAGGCGAUGAUAGAUAGGCGGCCUUAACGGGUGGUCGCCCACACUGGGAUUGAGAUACGGCCCAGACUCCUACGGGAGGCAGCAGUCGAGAAUAGUCUACAAUGGCCGAAAGGCUGAUAGUGCGACGCCGCGUGAACGAAGAAGCCCUUCGGGGUGUAAAGUUCUUUUAUAUGUGAGCAGUGCUUUCUAUGUGAACAGCAUGGGGAGAGAGAUAUUAGCAUAUGAAUAAGCAACGGCUAACUCCGUG